rnacentral:lncRNA from 1 species
GAAUUGAACCUGAGUCUUCUAUGAGAGUAGCCAAUGCUCUUAACCACUCAGCUAUCUCUCUACCUCCACCACUUUUGAGACAAGAUCUUCAUGAAGCACAGAGUUUUCGGGACUCUCGAGUGGUGUAAAACACUGGAAGCAGACGCACUGGGCUGGAUGGACUUGCAGAAGAUGGAUGGAGGUCAGUGAGGUUUACAGCUGUUGCAGCUGCCUGGUGCAUUCCAUGCCAAGCAAAGCACCUGCCAUACUGAACUGAGAGAGCUACUGGAUAAGAAGUCCCUCGAGUUAUUCGACUCAACUUUACAAAUCAAACACUCGAAGGAGCCAUGCAACCCUCUGACUACGGGGAGACCAUCAUGUCACUUACCAUUCUGUCUUUCUAGAAUGUCAACUGAGACACUUGACAACAGAUCAGACUGAGAUGAGAGGCAGAAAUGAGAAGACACAGAAGGCUAGUGGCACUCCUCUCAGCAAUGCCCGAGUGGCAGAAAAGCACCUUUAGAGAGCGCCUAUGCGGCAAGAGACACACAGCUAAAGAUUCAAAAUGAAUCAACAGGAUUGGAUAACAGGAUCACUCUCAACUCAGAAGCUGCCUGGAGGUCGGGUGCAUCUUCAGUUAAU